CCCUCCCAGAAGUCUUUGGGAGGCGGCCGCACGCCUCAGGCGACUGGUUGUUAUCGGGGAAGAUGGCGGCGCCGGAGCCGAGGCGCUAGGGAAGAUCGCACCGCUGAUGCCCGCUGGGCUUGGCGCACGGGCCGACCAGGAGCUGGCGACUGCCCUCAUGUGUGACUUGCGGCGGCCAGCGGCAGGUGGGAUGAUGGACUUGGCCUACGUCUGUGAGUGGGAGAAAUGGUCCAAGAGCACCCACUGCCCAUCGGUGCCCCUGGCCUGUGCCUGGUCCUGCCGAAAUCUCAUCGCCUUCACCAUGGACCUGCGCAGUGAUGACCAGGACCUGACCCGCAGGAUCCACAUUCUGGACACAGAGCACCCCUGGGACCUGCACUCCAUCCCCUCAGAGCACCGCGAGGCCAUCACCUGCCUGGAGUGGGACCAGUCAGGCUCCCGGCUCCUGUCAGCAGAUGCUGAUGGGCAGAUCAAGUGCUGGAGCAUGGCGGACCACCUGGCUAACAGCUGGGAGAGCUCGGUGGGCAGCCUAGUGGAAGGGGACCCCAUUGUGGCCCUGUCCUGGCUACACAACGGUGUGAAGCUGGCCCUGCACGUGGAGAAGUCGGGCGCCUCCAGCUUCGGGGAGAAGUUCUCCCGAGUCAAGUUCUCACCGUCGCUCACGCUGUUCGGCGGCAAGCCCAUGGAGGGCUGGAUCGCAGUGACGGUCAGCGGCCUGGUCACUGUGUCCCUGCUGAAGCCCAGUGGGCAGGUGCUGACAUCCACCGAGAGCCUGUGCCGGCUGCGCGGCCGCGUGGCCCUGGCCGACAUCGCCUUCACGGGCGGCGGCAACAUCGUGGUGGCCACGGCGGAUGGCAGCAGCGCGUCGCCCGUGCAGUUCUACAAGGUGUGCGUGAGCGUGGUGAGCGAGAAGUGCCGUAUCGACACAGAGAUCCUGCCCUCCCUGUUCAUGCGCUGCACCACCGACCUCAACCGCAAGGACAAGUUCCCCGCCAUCACUCACCUCAAGUUCCUGGCCCGGGACAUGUCGGAGCAGGUGCUUUUGUGCGCGUCCAGCCAGACCAGCAGCAUCGUGGAGUGCUGGUCCCUGCGCAAGGAGGGGCUCCCUGUGAACAACAUCUUCCAGCAGAUCUCCCCCGUGGUUGGCGACAAACAGCCCACGAUUCUCAAAUGGCGGAUCCUGUCGGCCACCAAUGAUCUGGACCGUGUGUCGGCCGUGGCGCUGCCCAAGCUGCCCAUCUCGCUCACCAACACCGACCUCAAGGUGGCCAGCGACACACAGUUCUACCCUGGCCUCGGGCUGGCCUUGGCCUUCCACGACGGCAGUGUCCACAUCGUGCACCGGCUCUCACUGCAGACCAUGGCCGUCUUCUACAGCUCCGCGGCCCCAAGGCCUGUGGAUGAGCCGGCCAUCAAGCGCCCCCGCACCGCAGGCCCCGCCGUGCACUUUAAGGCCAUGCAGCUCUCCUGGACCUCACUGGCCCUGGUGGGCAUUGACAACCAGAGCAAGCUGAGCAUGCUCCGCCUCUCACCCUCCAUGGGCCACCCGCUGGAGGUGGGGCUGGCGCUGCGGCACCUGCUCUUCCUGCUGGAAUACUGCAUGGUGACCGGCUAUGACUGGUGGGACAUCCUGCUGCACGUGCAGCCCAACAUGGUGCAGAGCCUGGUGGAGAAGCUGCACGAGGAGUACACGCGCCAGACCGCUGCCCUGCAGCAGGUCCUCUCCACCCGGAUCCUGGCCAUGAAGGCCUCGCUCUGCAAGCUGUCGCCCUGCACGGUGACCCGCGUGUGCGACUACCACACCAAGCUCUUUCUCAUCGCCAUCAGCUCCACCCUGAAGUCGCUGCUGCGUCCCCACUUCCUCAACACGCCCGACAAGAGCCCCGGCGACCGGCUGACCGAGAUCUGCGCCAAGAUCACCGACGUCGACAUUGAUAAGGUCAUGAUCAACCUCAAGACAGAGGAAUUUGUGCUGGACAUGAAUACACUGCAGGCGCUGCAGCAGCUCUUGCAGUGGGUAGGCGACUUCGUGCUGUACCUGCUGGCCAGCCUACCCAACCAGCAGGGCUCCCUGCUGAGGCCGGGCCACAGCUUCCUGCGGGACGGCACCUCGCUGGGCAUGCUUCGGGAACUGAUGGUGGUCAUCCGCAUCUGGGGCCUUCUGAAGCCCAGCUGCCUGCCCGUGUACACGGCCACCUCGGAUACCCAGGACAGCAUGUCCCUGCUCUUCCGCCUGCUCACCAAGCUCUGGAUCUGCUGUCGUGAUGAGGGCCCAGCUAGCGAGCCGGACGAGGCGCUGGUGGAUGAGUGCUGCCUGCUGCCCAGCCAGCUGCUUAUCCCCAGCCUGGACUGGCUGCCCGCCAGUGACGGCCUGGUCAGCCGCCUGCAGCCCAAGCAGCCCCUUCGUCUGCAGUUCGGCCGGGCGCCCACGCUGCCUGGCAGUGCUGCCACCCUGCAGCUCGACGGCCUCGCCAGGGCCCCAGGCCAGCCCAAGAUCGACCACCUGCGGAGGCUGCACCUUGGCGCCUGCCCCACAGAGGAAUGCAAAGCCUGCACCAGGUGCGGCUGUGUCACCAUGCUCAAGUCGCCCAACAGGACCACGGCGGUGAAGCAGUGGGAGCAGCGCUGGAUCAAGAACUGCCUGUGCGGCGGGCUCUGGUGGCGGGUGCCCCUCAGCUACCCCUGAGCCCCCCCUGAGCCCAGCUGCCCCUCAGCUACCCCUGAGCCCGGCUGCUGCGCUGGUUCAACCCUCAGCCGCCCCUGAGCCCGGCUGCUGUGAGAGCCACCACUCGCCCUAGACGCUCCUCGGCGCGGUUAACCUCAGCCCGCGGGCCGGACGCCUGUGUGACCAACAGAGCUGCUGAAGAAGCCCCUGCGUUUGUCCAGCUGAGCCCGCGGUCCACAUACCGCCCUCCCAGGACCCCCAGAUCCCUGGAUCGUGCGCAUCCAGAGGACCAUCCGUGACGGCCGGGGGUCCAGGCUGACCUUGCGGUGACCCGGCUCGGGCAUCUGCCUCGGUUUCCUUGCCUCACCCGCGGAGAGUGCUGAACCUGGACAAGCUGCGGCUGGGAAGAGCAGCUCCUGCGGACCAAAGGAUGCAAAGAUGCUCAGGCAGGCCGGACGCAGCAGCUCACGCCCCAGCACCAUGGGAGACCCAGGCAGGAGGAUCAGUUGAGUCUGGGAGUUCAAGACCAGCCUGGGCAACAGGGCGAGACCUCAUCUCUACAAAAAUCUUAAAAAUUAGCUGGGUGGCCAGGCGCGGUGGCUCAUGCCUGUAACUCCAGCACUUUGGGAGGCCGAAGGGGGCGGAUCACGUGAGGUUGGGAGUUGGAGACCAGCCUGACCAACAUGGAGAAACCCUGUCUCUACUAAAAAUACAAAAUUAGCCGGGCGUGGUAGCGCAUGCCUAUAAUCCCAGCUACUCGGGAGGCUGAGGCACGAGAAUCACUUGAACCUGGGAGGCGGAGGGUGCAGUGAGCCGAGAUUGUGCCACUGCACUCCAGGGUGGGCAACAAGAGCGAAACUCCAUCUCAAAAAGAAAAAAAAAAGCUGGGCGUAGUGGUUCAUGCCUGUGGUCCCAGCUACUUGGGAGGCUGAGGCAGGAGGAUCACUUGAGCCCAGGAGAUUGAAGCCUCAAUAAGCCGUGAUGGAACCACUGCACCCGAGCCUGGGGCGACAGAGUGAAACCAUGUCUUAAAAAAAAAUUUUUAAAAAAAUAAAGCAGUUGUUGUUUA